GACGAACGCUGGCGGCGUGCCUAAUACAUGCAAGUCGAACGGAAAGACCCUGCUCUUGCUCGGUUCUCGUUUGCCGAACGCGUGAGUAACACAUGUGUAACCUCUCCCUAUCUUUCUGAUAUCACCUGGGAACUCCGGCUAUUACCGCGUAGGAUCUCUUGAAGCACGGUGGGCAUUAGAAAGUUUCGGCUUUUGGGUAUGUACUCGCGGCGUCUUAGCUAGUUGGUAAGGUAGCGGCUUACCAAGGCUACGACGGGUAGCCGACCUGAGAGGGUGAUCGGCCACACUGGAACUGAGACACGGUCCAGACUCCUACGGGAGGCAGCAGUAGGGAAUCUUCCGCAAUGGGCGAAAGCUUGACGGAGCAACGCCGCGUGAGUGAUGAAGGUCUUCGGAUCGUAAAACUCUGUUAUUAGGGAAGAACAAAUGUGUAAGUAACUAUGCACGUCUUGACGGUACCUAAUCAGAAAGCCACGGCUAACUACGUG
rnacentral:rRNA from 1 species